AUUGAACGCUGGCGGCAUGCCUUACACAUGCAAGUCGAACGGCAGCACGGGUGCUUGCACCUGGUGGCGAGUGGCGAACGGGUGAGUAAUACAUCGGAACGUACCUUAUCGUGGGGGAUAACGCAGCGAAAGCUGUGCUAAUACCGCAUACGCCCUGAGGGGGAAAGCGGGGGAUCGCAAGACCCCGCGCGAUUAGAGCGGCCGAUGCCUGAUUAGCUUGUUGGUGGGGUAAAAGCCCACCAAGGCGACGAUCAGUAGCAGGUCUGAGAGGACGAUCAGCCACACUGGGACUGAGACACGGCCCAGACUCCUACGGGAGGCAGCAGUGGGGAAUUUUGGACAAUGGGGGCAACCCUGAUCCAGCAAUGCCGCGUGAGUGAAGAAGGCCUUCGGGUUGUAAAGCUCUUUUGUCAGGGAAGAAACACCGGCUCUAACACAGUCCGGGAAUGACGGUACCUGAAGAAAAAGCACCGGCUAACUACGUGCCAGCAGCCGCCGUAA
rnacentral:rRNA from 1 species